GUAAGGAAUAUUGGUCAAUGGACGAAAGUCUGAACCAGCCAUGCCGCGUGAAGGAUGAAGGCCCUCUGGGUUGUAAACUUCUUUUAUCUGGGACGAAAAAAGGGUAUUCUUACUCACUUGACGGUACCAGAGGAAUAAGCACCGGCUAACUCCGUGCCAGCAGCCGCGGUAAUACGGAGGGAGCAAGCGUUAUCCGGAUUUCACUGGGUUUAAAGGGUGAGUAGGUGGUGAUUUAAGUCAGUGGUGAAAUCUCCGAGCUUAACUCGGAAACUGCCAUGGAUACUAUUUACCGUGAAUGCCCUGGAGGUAAGCGGAAUAUGUCAUGUAGCGGUGAAAUGCUUAGGUAUGACAUAGAACACCAAUUGCGAAGGCAGCUUACUACGGGGUGAUUGACACUGAGGCACGAAAGCGUGGGGAGCAAACAGGAUUAGAAACCCCAGUAGUCC
rnacentral:rRNA from 1 species